UUUUCGAUUUUUUUAGAGAAAGCAUCCAUUCUACCACAAACGACAAUGGCCUGAGGCUCAUAAAUUUCGUCGCAGCUAGAGGCAUGACACACAUACUUUGCACGUUUGAACAUUCGAAAGCACACUUAGAGAUACCCAAACGGAGAGGUUUGCAGCCAAAUCGACCAUGUUCUGAUUGACGGUCGGUACUUUUUCAGGCGUCACAGACGUGGGGUUCUUCCGGGGACCAAACGUUGACUCGGAUCACUAACUCGUGGUAUGCAAGAUUCGCACCAGGCUGCCCAACGUAUUUAAAUCAAGAUCAACGAGGAAGAUACGGUUGAACAUCCAGCGGCUAUCAACCGAAAGAGUAGCAGCAGAAUACUCACAGAAUGUUGAAGAGCGGAUCGAUGAGCAAUUUAGAGGAGAAAUGAAUGAACAGUGGAGGCAUAUCCACGGUACGAUCAGCAGCACAGCGCGAGAAAUGUUGGGCACAACAGUGGCAACCACGCCCAAUGAGUGGUUUGACGCGGAGUGCCAGCGAGCGACAGAUGAGAAGAACCGAGCCAAAGUUCACAUGCUAAUUACAACUGUGACACGUCAGAGCAGAGGAAGAUAUCGUGAUGCAAGAGCUGCUGAAAAGAGACUCCAUCGCCGUAAGAAACGUCAGCAUUGGAAACGAAUUCUUGCGGGGGCGGAGGAUUGCUUCUCCAGGCACGACGCGAGGAGCUUUUAUAAAACGAUAAACGGUAACAGGACCCGGACCGUGCCAACCCCUGUAAUGAUCAACGACAGGGAAGAGAACGUGAUUACCGAUAAAUCGGAGGUGGCCAGGCGUUGGCAGCAGCAUUUCAAUGGGUAGUUGAAUGGCGAAGAUGGAGUCGUCGAAAGGAAUAGGAUUGAAAUUGAGGAUGCUGGACAAGCUGUGGAUCCACCAACCAUAGGUGAAGUGAGGGAAAACAGUGAAAGAGCUGACGAACGGCACAUCAGCUGAGAAGGACGGCAUACCUGCUGAACUUUUCAAAGUCGGGGGCGAAUAGCUACUUUGUUGUAUGCAUCGUGUUGUCGAACCCACCGUGCAACAGACGGCAGCUCUGACGGGUGAAUUGGUGAGUCCCGGGAGCCCUGCCUGGCAGCUGUCAUCCAGCGAGAGUGAGACGGGAUAGUAAUAUGGCAUAAUAACAAACAAACAAAACAAACGAAAAAGUAAGGAUUGUAAAGUGAAUAAUAGAGCUGUAAAGGAUUGAUAGCGGAUAAUAAGGAUAUUUGAAGGAUUAGAAUGAUUAGAAGGAUAUUGGUAUAGACGUGAGGAAAGCGAUAAACAAUAGAAAUUUGAAUUCGAGGAUUAGAUUGGAGGUUGGAGAAAAUAUUUCUACAGGAAAGCGCAAGCUAAAAUCUUUAAAGCUGCCAAAACAGUAACGGCUGCUAAAAGACGUGUUUGAAUUUCCUAACCGGUAUGAUUCUCACCAACUCAUCGGGUUAUCGAGCGGAUAUGGAACUACCUACGGACUGGUUGGAAGUACACAUUUGUCCGAUUUACAAAAAGGGUCACCGCCUCGACUGUAGUAAUAAUCAAGGAAUAACUCUCCUCAACUCAGCGUAUAAAAUUCUCUUUCGAGAUGGACGAUCCACAAUGGACCAAAAGUUCACGCUGCGUCAGAUCCUCGAUAAAUAUCGGGAGUACAACCUGCGAACUCACCAUCUGUUUGUAGACUUCAGGGCUGCGUACGAUUAAGUUAAACGAAACGAGUUAUGGCAGAUAAUGCUGGAACAUGGUUUCCCAACAAAACUAAUCAAGCUGAUUCGUGCCACCCUUGAUGGGUCAGCAUCAAGCGUCAGGAUAGCGGGUGAAACAUCCGACUCGUUCGUGACGUUGGACGGUCUGAAGCAGGAUGACGGGCUUUUGAAUUUACUAUUCAACAUCGCGUUGGAAGUUGCUGUACGAUGGGCUGGUGUGCAAAGGAGUGGCACCAGGGAAGCUACGAGGAUUGGGCUCAUCAUAAACUCUGCCAAAACGAAGUACAUGGUGGCUGGUAGAAAACGUUGUAGCCCGUCUGGUGUUGGUGCUGCGGUUGUGAUGGGUUGUGCGAAGUGACUUGCAUGACACAUUGUGUUUCAUUCGAUAUUGAUCGAAAUCCAAACACUGAUAAUUUUCCUGUUACAGGGUCUUUCAAUAGUUUACUGCUUACAAAAAACCUGCUAAAUUGAAACGCUUAAAGCUUCUGGUUGUCUUGCACGAAGGACUCGAGUUCUUUGAUUUUCGUCAUAAUUGUAUUCAGGAUGGUAUCUCCAGUCAGUCGUUCUUCCAGGGUUAAACGUCUGCUGGACUUUAGCAAGAACAGAUAGUCGAUACCCCGACUGUACCGAGUCUCAGAUAUUUCUCCAAAAUUGCUUGCAAAAUUGCAAAAUUGCACCGCUUUGAAGAUCAGAGUCUACAGAUGAAGAUUGAACUUGAUGACCUGAUGAACUUGAACUGAUUGGGUAUGAUACAUUUCAACUUGAAGCCUUCACACCGAUGACAUAGUUCUUUUCGGUUUACUUCGAGAGUUGGGAAGAUUUAAGCCGUGGAUCCGAAACUAAUUACAAAGUAAAUAUUGAAAAAUCAACAUGAUCUGAUAUAUAUUGAUUGAUUAAAAAGUGACACUAAAUCCAAUAUCUGCUAACAGAAGCGAAAUUAAAAAAUGUUACUUCCACACAAAUAAUAUUCGCUGCUCUUGUUUAAUCAAUAUAUUCAGAACGCGAACCGCAUCUGCUUCGCUCGCGGAUAAUCGACACAUUAAUAUAACAUAUUUGUUGAUAGUUUUUACACCAUCGCCUUAUCAGUUUCAGAGAGUGCUAUCAGUGCCAUUCAAGUUGCUCUCUAAAAAGCGAGGAUCGAUGAAUCAGUCAACGGUUGAUUGUACGCAUAACUAUUGUAGGGAGAUAAUCUGUUCAGAAAUGUUCAAAUUAUUACUCAUUGCCUGCCUCGUGUUUUUGUCCUUAUAUUCUUGUUGGUGCAGUCCUCUCUCGAACGAGAACUUUUUAAAAUCUAACAUCGCACGAGUCAAACGUCAAUUUUCCAUGAACUUGGGAGCCACUUAUCAAGAGGAUGAAGGAACCGAUCUCACAUUAGAUGCAAUAGCUCGUCUCUGGCGGAGUAAAAGUGGACAAACGGA